AAUAUGUUGAAGUAGUUAAGUCAUACAAUAUGAUUUUUUCUAAAAUACUUUUGAUAAUGCUACGUAUCCCUCCAUCGCGCUUGGUUGAAAAGCCAGUGGCGCGAAGCUACCGUGCGUUGGAUUAUGACUGAACGCCUCUAAGUCAGAAUCCGGGCUAGAAGCGAUGCGUGUGCCCGUCGCCCGUUUGCCGACCAGCAGUAGGGGGCCUCGGCCCCCAAGAGGCACGUGCCGUUGGUGAUCCCCGCGGGGUGGACGAUCCUCGCGGGACGCCUUGAAGCGCUAUUCCCCACUGGGCGGCGGGUAGAAUCCUUUGCAGACGACUUAAAUACGCGACGUGGUAUUGUAAGUGGCAGAGUGGCCUUGCUGCCACGAUCCACUGAGAUUCAGCCCUUGUCGCUUAGAUUCGUCCCUCCCAUCUCAAACACUUUCCCGAGCUUGCUCGUACAACCCAGGAGGGUUACAUCCCGCACCUCGCAUGGGCGACGAGGCGAGCAGGUGCAAAGUCAGUGUUCCUUAAGCCCAAGGUAGAGACAAAGUCACUUACAAUGUGGUGUGCGGCAUCGCCUCUGGCCAUGCCCCCAUGGCGCGCUAGCAUGGUGCCCUGUGUGUGGGUCAUGGAGUGCGGUGGUUGGGUGCUUUGUGCAUGGGGUGUGGUUCCUCGUGCGUGAUCCCGAGUGCUAGGUGAAAGUGCGGGAAUGACAAACGUGCUCGGAGGAAGUGAGGACAUUACACGUGCUCGGUGACAUUGAGGACAUGACACAUGUGUCCGAGUGCUAGG